rnacentral:sRNA from 1 species
AUUAAAGCUCUUCCGGGCGGCGACACACUUUUCCCGAAAGCGCUCUGAAAGCGGCCGGUUCGAUCCGGCCGCUUCGAUGCU